GCUCAGGUAGUAUACGGUCAGUGCACACGAUAUGAAACUCUUAAUCUCAGGGUUGUGGGUUCGAGCUCCACAUUGGGCG